rnacentral:tRNA from 2 species
GUUAUAGUAGUUUAUACUAAAACCUUGGUCUUGUAAACCAAAAAAAGAUUUUAAAUCUUUAUAACU